AAAGCUGAGAAAGAGUCAUCUCAUCAUAGAGCCUUCCCUAACCACCCAAUUAAUAAUGCAUCCUUUUCUGGGUAAGCACAGUUGCCCGUAAAUUCCUAAGUCCUUUGUUUUGUUUUAUUUUUUAAUGAGCUCACUUUUGCAUUUAGGUGUUUGGGGGUUUUUUGGUUGUUUUGUGUGUGUGUGGCGGAGUGGCGGGGUGGCGGGGGUUGGUUGUGCCUGCGGCACACAGACGUUCCCUGGCCAGAGAUGGAACCCAUGCCACUGCAGUGACCCCAACUAUGACAACACCAGAUCCUUAACUGCUAGGCUACCAAGGAACUCCUUAAAUGUCUUUAAUACCCCUUUUCUCUUCACUUUGGUAAUAAACAGCUCCACAUUCUUUCUCAAGUUCUGUGAAGGGUCUUCUUAAAGGUAGUACCAGCCAAAGUGCAGUCACGGGUGUCCUGUCCCGGGUGUCCUGUCCCGGCAUGUAGAUGCAUUUGCAGAAACCAACCCCCAGGGGUCAGAAUUAACAAACCAGAAGUGGACUUAGGAGAUUGGUCAUCAGCUCAAGAACCCUCGACCAUUUCUCUGGAGAGUAACCUCUCAUGUGCUGUGAGAGAACUGGGGUUCUGCCCAAAUAAUUUUUGACUCCUCUUUACCUGAUGAAUUGGGAGUAGGUCUGCAUGACAGAGAAGACGAUGUCAAAAUCAUGGUGAGGAAGCUAAUGAAUCUUUUGUAUAUUGCACAAAAAUGUUCCCGGCUUGACAAUUUUGAUGACAAUUUUAAGUCUUUCCUAAUCCUCUAGCAAGGAAGCAUGUUCUUUUCUGAUUUUCCAAUUUAGACCAAAGGGGCCCUAUAGUCACACUGAUAGACUUCUUCCUUCUGGUUACAAAACCACAAUAUGUACCCUGUUAGGAAAAAAGUUACAUUUUGUAUAUAGAUUUAUUUAAAUGAUACUUGACCAACACUCUUCAGAAAACCUUUUUUCCAGAUGCACAGUUGUAUCUGACCUCAGUGUAUAGAGUGUGGCAAAGGCUAACAGUUGAGAAAUGCUUAAACUUUCAAAUAUUUAUGGUUUUAAAAUUUCAGUUUAACACUUGCUACCUCUAGGUGGAUAUUCCUAUUAGAAGGAGAGUUGCUUCUUCAGAUUAGAGUGGAAAACUACUCCCUUAGGAGGAAACCAAAGUCCCAGAGUUCCCUGUGUCCCAGCUGACUUCACUUUUGCCCCACGGAAGGACAAAGAACAGCAACAACCAGGCCUGCGGCACCAAUACUAACCCAACUCUGACCCAAGUUCCAGCAAUUGCACAUUGUCAACAUGGGAAACCCCUCUCGUCAUCUACCCUUUCUCCAUUCUGCUCCUCGAAUCCAAUUUCCCACCAUUCUCCUCCUUCUUAAGACUUAACGUCAGCUGUCAUUCCUUAUUUGAUGGUAAACAAAACUUUUAUUAUUUUUAACCUACUGCAAGAUGUUCCCCGCCCUCUCUGUCCUCCACUUUCUAGCUAGGAGCAAACUCCACUCUCACCGAGGCCCGCACUCUUCCGCACUCAUCUGGGAUAGAAGCCAUGCUGUAUUUUCAAGCUCUGCUUCUGUGCAGACAUCUACCUUUUCCACUUCCAAAUCAUGAAUACUGCCUUUAGUCCCUCAUUGUCAUUCUCACCUCUCACCUCAUGAUACACUCACCUCAAACUCAGCCAAGUGCAUCGCCACGUCUUUCUGAAGCAUUUUGUGAAAGACCAUCCAUAAGCUACCUUAGUCUCAGGAUACCUUGACCCCUUGAAACCACACUUUGAGUUUAAUUACCCCGUCGACUUGUUGUUUAAGCCACCCAGGGUCAACUUGGACUCUGUAUUUGAACUUUUAUACUCUACUCUAAAACAAUGGGUUCUCCUAUGCAAAAUUCAGAUGCAUGGUUUUAAGGCCAAAACCUGACGUCAGAUGACCCUUGAUGACCUACCCUGUCAUCCUCUGACACCUCCUCUGAAAAAUGGGCAUGACAAGUCCUGCUCUGCCAGUAUCACACCAUUGUUACAAUGAUCAAAUGCAAACCUGGGAGCACCAGGAAGUAUAAGCAUCAUGUGAUGAGGCCCCUGGCCAUCUCUUGAGCCCAGAGGGGAGCUGCACAUUAUGAAUGUUGGCUCCUUGCUUCCUUUUUUAACCAGAACAAGUGGUUAUAAUAUUUCCUAACUGAAAUAAUUAAAUGGGGAAAAUCCAGAAGGAGCAGGAAAAUUUCAGGCAACCCAUUCCAAGAAAGACUUAAGUGAUCCUUAACGGGAACCUUGGAAGACCUGAGCCAGAGAAAGGGCAAGUAAAACAAAUAGGCAGUUUAAAGAAGAAAAAGAGCCAAAAAGCUGAAAGAACGCUGGCUUCUUUUUCCAAAGCAACAGUCUGUCCCACAAGCAAAGGCCCCUUCCGAGGGGAAGCAUUGUCUCUGGCUGUGAGAGUUGCUGAGAGGGCAAGAAAGAAGAUCACGUCUGACUUCAUAUUGGAUCCAUUUCUUUUAUUUUAACUUAUAUAUUCUAUUGCUUUUGCUACAAGUUACUCACUAAAGGGAUGCUGCCUUUAGCUUCAAGUACACAUCCUGGCCCAUCUCCAGGAAUCCUGCUUCCCCAGCCUGGGUGUUAAGCUAAAAUACCUUUGUUUAGCAUGUGGAAAAUAUCCUGACCAGGCCCACCUGUGAAUAGCUGCAGGAAAGAAAAAAUUAGCACAUCCCCUCUGGGGGAUUAAACCCGUGCCACAGCAGGGACCCAAGCCACUGCAAUGGCAAUACUCGAUGUGCGAUUCCCAUUGUGGUGCAGCAGAAACAAAUCCAGGAGUUCCCAUCAUGGCACAGUGGAAACCAAUCCGACUAGGAACCAUGAGGUUGAGGGUUCGAUCCCUGACCUCACUCAGUGGGUUAAGGAUCUGGCAUUGCCGUGGCUCUGGCAUAGGCCGGCAGCAACAGCUCCCAUUAGACCCCUAGCCUGGGAAUCUAUGCCAUGGGAGCAGCCCUAAAAAGGACAAAAGAUUUAAAAAAAGAGAAAGAGAGAAAGAGAGAAAGAGAGAGAGAGAGAGAAAGAAAGAAAGAAAGAAAGAAAGAGAAAAAAAGAAAGAAAUCUGACUAGGAACCAUUAGGUUGAAGGUUUGAUCCCUGGCCUCACUCAGUGGGUUAAGUAUCCCGCUCUGCUGUGAGCUAGUGGUGUAGGUCUCAGACACAGCUUGGAUCUGGUGUUACUGUGGCCGUGGUGUAGGCCUGCAGCUGUAGCUCCAAUUAGACCCCUAGCCUGGGAAACUCCAUAUGCCUCGAGAGCAGCCCUUAAAAGCAAAGAAAAAGACAACACUGGAUUCUUAACCUGCUGUGCCACAAGACAACUCCUCCCCUUCUUUGUUUUAUAAAAGCAACUACUGGUCAAGUCCAGGUUCAAUGGUUCUUUGGGACACCAGUCCACCAUCUUCUCUGUCUGCUGGCUUUGCAAAUAAAGUCACUCUUGUUUGCCCCCACAACUCAUCUAGAUUUGUUAGCCCACUGUGCAUCAAGCAGUAGGAGCUUGGUAACAAGGGGAGGAAAAUGUGUGAUGCCUAAAAGGAGACAAAUCACUUGCACUGAGCGUGGGUAAAAAUGAAAGGAACAACACAGGGAAGAAGGGGAACAGCUUGAACUUGGACUAAAGUAAAUUCCGUCAAACAUGAUUAAAUACACACACAAUGCCUGGAGCAAAAGCAGAAGUUCAAGUUCAUCAUCGGCCGAAACCCAGUUUCUCACCAGAGGAGACAAGAUACAAAAGUGCUCAAGCUGAGCACUUGCCCAGCAGGCAGGGAUAAAAGGAUGCCGCACUGGAGGGCCUGGCAGCAUCUCAGACAGGGUCAGGCCACAUCCCAGUACUGGAGACACAACAUGGCAAAGUGAGCAGGACAGACAACUGCAAGUCAGCACACGCGUGGUCCACAGCCAGCUCUACGCCUUCCAAGUCUAGACUCUGCGAUAAUUCAUUUCCCAUUUCAGGGCUCCAGUUUUCUCCUCUAUAAAAUGGGUUGAUAUUCAGCAGGGACAUGGGUUCAAUCACCAGCCUGGUGCAGCCGGUUAAGGAUCUCACAUUGCUGCAGCUGUCGCAUGGGUCCCAACUCCAGCUCGGGUUCCAUCCCUGGCCAGGGAAUUCCAUAUGCCAUAGGAGGGGCCAAAAAAGAAACAAAAACAAAAACAAACAAAAAGAACUGGCUCAACCUGCCUUCCAGGAUCGUUGUGAGAAUAAAGAGAGUUAGAGGAGGAAGCAUCUCCUAAGUGGAAAGGAAAUCACACACAAGCAAUGAUAGAAGCAUUUCUGCAGAGCCUCAUCGCCUCCCUGGGACAGGAGCACAGAGCUUGGAUCUGAGCUCUUGGUGGGCCUCCGGGAUGUUCAUUCUAAGCAGACCACUUGCUCUCAGGCGAACUUGAGCCGUGGCACAGCUGUGGUGACCGUGAUGGCUUCGGGAAUGCUGCCCAGGGCUCUCUUUUCUCUCCUCCUCUCUUUCCUCAGAGCCCUGCCCAGCAACAGCAAACUACAAGCCGUCCAGACUCCUGCAUGCCCCACCACUUCCUCCUACUCAAAUGCCUCCUCUCCCUGCUUCUUCCCCAUAAAGGGAAUUACUCAAGAAAAACAGGCCUGCUGUAGGGGCCGCCACCCCCAUCACCUGCCUCGACCUUUGACACAACAAAAACAAAAUGAUGCCCCUUUCUCCUGCCAG
ensembl:lncRNA